GUGGCGGCACAUGUACUAAAACUGGAUGAUACAGAGAAGAUUAGCAUGGCCCCUGCGCAUGGAUGACUUGCAAAUUCGUGGACUGUAUGUCCUCUGC
ensembl:snRNA U6 U6 spliceosomal RNA